rnacentral:lncRNA from 1 species
UGCAAUUAACACAAUAUGUCCUCGACAAUUUGUCGAGGAACUAAAAAGCCAAUAAUUUCAAAGGGUAAAACCUUCUCCCCGUAAUUUCCUCCACGAACAUCGUGGCACGCGUUACGAGCAAAGAGAAAUUUCCCCUUUGUAAAAUCCUCCUCGUCAUGCCACUGAGGAAUUUACGAGCAACAUAUAAACUCUGCUCGCGCAAACGAGCAACAAACAUAAUCAAUGAAUUAUGAACUCCUCCUAGGAUUAACAAGGAAAACAACUCCUCGACAUACGGGCAUGGAC